GCCUGGACCGGCUCGCGGAGCACGGAGCGGGCGACCUCGUCGUGGUCGCGGAGGCGGGGCUGCCGGUCGCGGCGCUGCUCGACGCCGUGGGCGGGGCG
rnacentral:tRNA from 1 species